UACGGGGGGGGCAAGCGUUGUUCGGAAUUACUGGGCGUAAAGGGCGCGUAGGCGGCCUGCUAAGUCGGACGUGAAAUCCCUCGGCUCAACCGGGGAACUGCGUCCGAUACUGGUGGGCUCGAAUCCGGGAGAGGGAUGUGGAAUUCCAGGUGUAGCGGUGAAAUGCGUAGAUAUCUGGAGGAACACCGGUGGCGAAGGCGGCAUCCUGGACCGGUAUUGACGCUGACGCGCGAAAGCCAGGGGAGCAAACGGG
rnacentral:rRNA from 1 species